UACAGAGGUCUCAAGCGUUUGUUCGGAUUCAUUGGGCGUAAAGGGUGCGUAGGCGGCGCGGUAAGUCGGGUGUGAAAUCUUGGAGCUUAACUCCGAAACUGCAUUCGAUACUGCCGUGCUUGAGGACUGGAGAGGAGACUGGAAUUUACGGUGUAGCGGUGAAAUGCGUAGAUAUCGUAAGGAAGACCAGUGGCGAAGGCGGGUCUCUGGGACAGUUCCUGACGCUGAGGCACGAAGGUCAGGGGAGCAAACGGG
rnacentral:rRNA from 1 species